rnacentral:rRNA from 1 species
GCGCGCGCAGGUGGUUUCUUAAUUCUGAUGUGAAAGCCCACCCCUUAACCGUGGAGGGUCAUUGGAAACUGGGAGACUUGAGCCCUUAAGAGGAAAGUGGAAUUCCAUGUGUAGCGGUGAAAUGCGUAGAGAUAUGGAGGAACACCAGUGGCGAAGGCCACCUUCUGGUCUGAAACUGACACUGAGGCGCGAAAGCGUGGGGAGCAAACAGGAUUAGAUACCCUGGUAGUCCACGCCGUAAACGAUGAGUGCUAAGUGUUAGAGGGUUUCCACCCUUUAAUGCUGAAGUUAACGCAUUAAACACUCCGCCUGGGGAGUACGGCCGCAAGGAUGAAACUCAGAGGAAUUGGACGGGGGCCCG